UUAGAAAAUGGAGUAGGCCUGUUAAGUCUGCUUGUUCUGUGGCAUUAGCUCUCUACCCACGUGUUUUGUAGUGCCUCCCCCAAAAAUGUGGGUAUUGGCUCCUUCCUGGUCUCGCACAGCAUUGCAACAGCUGGCUCCCAAUUUCCUUCUCGUUUUUUCCUCUGGGCAAUGCUGCUGUUAGCUGAGGAUUUCCUGGUGAAAGCUGACACAAGCAUUGGCUUACUUUGGACCUGCCUAGUAUUUGGAAGCUCUCCAUCCAAAGAUCUAAUAUCCAAAACAGGAAGCAGCUUUGACAGGCACAUGCAAUACUACAGACAAACACAAAACAACAUCAUAAACAUUGGCUUUGGACCAGCUUUGUAUGUGGUGGUAAAACAUUUGGUAUUCCACUUAAGAUUUCUACAAGGAAACAUCUGUGAGAUUGUGCCGCAGAUAACACGCAGCGUUUGAUCCAUUUUUGUUCGUCUCGAAAGGCAUUGAGAAGGCUUCAUUCACUUGGGCCUGACUGUAAACCGAAAAUGAGCCUCGUUGUUCCAGCACGGAAAGCCCACGUACUGUAUCUAAGCGUGCUCUGCCAAGAAGUGGUGGUGCAGUGCCUAGGCAGAGAAGCACAGCAAGGAGAUCGCUCCCGUCGCGUCCCUGCCAGGCUGCUCAUCGCUCGCCGUCCACGUUGGUAUUGGACACACUGCCCCCGGUCUUCCAGGGGAGCUCCUGUACUUUGUCUUCUCGUUGUUUGCAUAGAGGCAUCUGCAGUGAAGGACUUCCAUCAGCUGUUUCUUGUAAGGCUUUCACCGUGGUGUAUCUACACAACACAUUGUCUUUGUGCCAGGGGUUUUUGGAGAGCCUGCGACAGAAAGCCCAGGGGUCAGUGUCUGUUUACGCUGGGGCAGUGUGUUUAUGCUAGUUGUUUGCACCAGUGCAAUUAUGGUAUCAACUAAACCCUCAGUGUGCAGAUGGCCUCCAUCUCACGCUGACCAGAUCCAAUCACCGAGCCCUUCACCCUUUGCUGUAAAACAGGCAAGAAGCCACAAUCCCACCGGACAGCGUGGACAGGUGUCUCCCAGCAGCAAAGCCCAGCCUUGAUGAGCACAGACAGCUCCUCCGAGACAGCAGCCAGAAGAUGGUGCUUUGGCUAUUUCCAAACUGUGGAAGACAAGAGCACCCUACUGGUUUGUUGAUGUUUGGACUGCUCUCUGACGGAGAAAUUUGACAGCACUGAGUUAUUUUGUAAUUGAAAGCAAAGUCAGAUGUUAGAGCGAACUGUCAGGAGAGUCUCCUGUUUUCUUCAAAGACUUUAUGCUGAAGAUGUAGUUUGGUUAAAUAUAAUGCAAUGACUCAAGUUAACUAGAGGCAUUUUUUUUAUAUUUUUUUAUAUUUUUUUUUCCUAGAAAACGAUGUGGUGAGAUAGGAUAAGUGGGGGGAAAGAGGGGAAGGACAGAACCACUAAACAUAUGUAAAAUUAGCCUAAAAAACAUUAUGAGAAAAUAAUGAAAGAAAGAAGAGUUGGUGAUAGUAUCUGCUGUGCAGGCCAGCAGUCCCUAAGUUAGUCUUGGCUGCAUUUGCCUUUCACUUCUGUAACCUCCUCGGUCAGUAUGGGAAGGUCCUGAAUCUCCAGCUCCAACAGCUCCCCGGCUCCCACCUGCAGUGCACGAAGCUCGGUGUGGGGCUGUGGAGGCUGAGGGAACCUUGAUCAAAAUCACGUCUCUGCUUUGUCCCCUGCCCGACUUGCCACUGGAGGGAGACAGAUAGCAGGAGUCCAAAGCCUUUGAGAAAGGCAGAAGAGCCAGAAAUGGCAGUGCACGUACAGGCAAGGUUAGUCUGCUGGUGUUUGCUGUCACAGCAGGCACCGUUUAGCUCCAGCUGUAGGAUGGCACUAGGCUGUUUGUAUUUAUGCAAGAAAAGGCUGGAAUUACCUCUUUUUGCAAAAUGAGGUAGAUAGAGCUGUUUGUCAGGCUAGAAAGGAUGGGUCAGUGAGAGCUCCUCCGUGGGCACCUGUUAGCAGAAGGGUUGUUUUCAUCACAUGCAGUGCCUCAAGCCACUUUCUGUACUUGCGUUGUAGAAACGCAGACAGCUAUAAAGAGGAAAAAGAUGUCUGGUGAGAUGUGCAGAGGUAAUGUGGCUGCCCAUAAACCUGUACCUACCUUCACAGUGCUCCAACAGCAACAACAGGGGAUGGGAGGUGCUAUGGGAGUUGACUUCAGCCCUGGAAAAAGUGACCAGGAGCCUUUCUGAUGGCAGAUGGAUGUUCCCAGCUGCAUGCCUGCUGUCUGGUUCACUGCUCUGCAACUGGUGAUCUGGGGAUAUAACAGAAGGAGCUCAUCGGGGUCUAUUCCAAGGUGUUUUCUGGUCUCUUUUUAUUAUGCAGCACUAGUUGAGCUCUGCCAAUUGCUAAAUGAGCUCUGAGAUAUCCCUUCCUCACUUUUUCUUCCUUGUUUUUAAAUAUUUCAUUGCAGUGGCCGCCACCUUCCUGGGAGGGUGCUUGAAUCCCAGCAUCUGGACUGCUCGUAGGCAGGGAGAGAGCCCAGGGACUCAGCUGGGCUGAAGGAGGAGCUCAGUCCUGCGCUCCUCAAUUUGCUGUGUACAGACAGAAGGGAAAACUUCAGGAGACCAGCCUGGGGACGCUUACAGCAAUCUUGGCUGCUUUUGGGAACAGGGGUGCAGUGUGACACGAGCAGCCCAUAGUCCUGGGGCAUGUGCAAUACCGGGAUGUGUGAAGACGUUCCUCUCAGUACCACAGUAAUGACAGCAGCAGAUUCAGGCAAGUGGUAAAUUCAAGGGAUGCUGCUCCUGGAGUUGUGUAAUUACGAUCCUAGGGGAGGGGGGCAGGGCAACGUGAACAGAGAACUAAGCGCUAAGAUAGCUGAGAAAAUAUUUGUUUCAUAAAUCUCCUCUCUCCUCCGUUUGCUGUCACAAAUGUCUAAACAGGAUUUGUGUUCUAAAGAGUCUUUUAUACCCUGUUUAUCCGUGGUAAAGCCAUGCAAAUAAUGGGUUAUUUAGCCUACUGUCAGAACCAGAAAUCACUUAAAUAAUUUCUACCCAACCAGCAUUAAAGUUCCAGAUCUUUUUAAAAGAGAAAAGUAAUAGAAGAAAAAUUCUUACAGCUGAUUAAAAAAAAAAAAAAGGUGCAAAUCCUGCUAUCAUUGGAGGUAUUUUUUUCUCUUUGUAAAUACCACACCUGACAUGCCGGCAGAGCCUGGGACUAUUUGGAACUUCCAUGACAUUUUUGCUUCAGAAAGCUCCAGCCCGAGGCAGGUAAAGCUGUUGUGGCACCUCCAGGCCACUGCAGGAGCACGGUGCAGCACAGCAGGUCCCUGCAGCACCUCACCCGGGCUGCUGACUGCUCCGGUGCUCACCUCGCAUUCCCUCAAGCAGGGCACCAAGGAUUCCCAAGGUUUGUGCUCUUCUGUAAUAAGAAGAAAGCGAAUUUGUUGGGCAUGAUGGUAUCACCAUACUGUCUUGAUGACUAUUUUAUAACUCUCCAUGCCUGUGGUUGGCAACUCCUCUCUUAGUAGGUGGCUUGUCUUGCCUUACACAAUGUCACCUAGCAACUGUUGGCUGAAAAGGAAGAAGAGACUGCCAGUCCUCUGAGCUGGUUGCUGCUCAGAGCAUGUGUAACAAGCCCUUCUGUUGGACGUGAAAGGCUCUCACCUACCUGUCCAAAAUUCACUUAUUUGGAGCAACACCUCCUGGAGUGAGCUGGACAUCUGUAGAAACACAGGCAUGUUCUUGGUGGCAGAAACAUCUGCCUCAGGAGCCACAGAUGGUCCUCACAAUGUCCUAGCUGCUCACAGGAUGGCUGGAAGGUCCUUCCUGUGAGCUUCAGCACAUCGCCCAUCCCUUCCCUGCACGGUGUUGGGAAGCUUUAGGAACCGGAGAAGGCUGCUCGAACUCCAGCAUUGAGGCAAAUGCCUGGUGAGAGGUUUGCAAAACUGCUGGGGCCUGAGUUGUACAGUGUCGUGGCUACCUGCCUCAGGGGUUUGAUGUGUUGGUUCUGCCUUCACUGUCCUGUCUUCCCCACAGCUGAGAAUUUACAACAAAAACAGCUCCAUUUUUAACAUGGGAUUGAGUGGCAACUGUGCUUUGGUCUGCGUCACAUUUAGUUCUGUAAUUAUCACUCGUAGAGGAUUGUACCUGGUAAAUUAGGGCUGGGUCCUUUGCAGAUGUUGGCAGGAACAUUGCAGGAAAGACUGGGUACAGGCCAUGAAAAGGGACUGUCCUGCCAGCUGCCACUUGAGAAAUGAGCUGUCUGAAAGUGAAACACGAGGAUGCUGUAGAUGCAACUUGUCUUCCUGCAGAGUUUCCUAGUGCAGUUGUGCAGGAAGCUGGAACUGCUUCCUAGUGACUCACAAUUCCUGCAUAUUGACACGGUUAUCAAGGUGUUAUUUUUCUGUGUUGUGUUUUUGAUUAUUAAGAAACUUAAAUGGCUGGAGGGAAAAAGCAGGAAAGGAAAAACAAUAGCUCUGAAAUUCUUUGAAUGAAUUCAUGGUGAUAAAAGAGAAUGCUAGCCCACCUCACUCUCUUCUUUUGUAGUCAUCUGUAGCACGUUAUCCUACUGCAGACUUCUACGCUCAGGUGGUGGCCAGAGGACUUCUUGUCUAUGCUCCUGCAUUAAAUAUCACACCAGGAUAUGGUGUUCCUGUAACAGCUACAUACCAUCCAGUCCCAAUGCUGCUAGCUGAGAGUAACAGUAGAAUUUCAUCAACUCCUAAAACAUUUUUUUCUGUUAACAGCCCUGUAAAAAAACAAGAGCCAAAUAUCAGUGUAAUGUGAAAAUCAAGCUAUUUGUAAACAGGGCUCAAAAUGUCUUUAAUGCACUUUCUUAUUAGUGUGGAUGUGAUCCAGUCUGGAUAUAGUGAUGUGCAGAACUGUACACAAGAGCCUCCAGAAAGGUCAAGGUACCCCUGAGUCUCUAAGUGCUGCAUUGAACGGUCACAGCUGGAGGGGGAGAGCUCUUCUGGGCUCUUCUUCAUCUCUUCUGGGAGAUCACUUAGGCUACGCAGUGAACUAGACAGAGCAAAACUUUUCUGCAGAACUGUUUCUAUGGCUCCUGUAUAUGCUGCAAACAAAUUUUAUCAGAGCUCUACAUAUGUUUUUUGCUAUUUGCUGGAGUUUUAAUGCAGGUAGUGGAAUACUACAUGCACCUCUUUGUUGUUCUCCAUUUCUUUCUCUUGUUCCUGGUCUUCAGAAUGAAACUUUGUUGAAACUUUGUUUUAGGAACAUUGGUCUUUGUCAGUUUUUUCCUUUUUUUUUUUUUUUUUCAAAUUAUUGUAAUCAUGAUGUGGUUCUAACAUCAGGAAUUGGUAAAUUGGUAGGCAGAAGAUACCAGCAUCAGCUCUGCUGAGCCUGCAAAGCAAAAAGAAGUGCUUAAAAAUUCAAACUUUGUCAUUUUACAUGUAUUCUUUUGAAUAAUUAAAUUAUCUCUUAUUUCUACCACACAAGAAUGUAACUACAGUAAUACAGAUAAAAACAUUGGUGUACAUUAAAAAAAGGUGAAUUUCCUCACGUUAAUCAAACGUGCAAUAAAGUUGCUUCAGUAAAAUGUUUUCUCUUUCAAGGAAA